rnacentral:lncRNA from 1 species
UCUCUAUAUAUAUAUGUGUGUGUGUGUGUAUCUUUCUAGUAAUAUACUUUGACUUCAUGGGUUAUUGUAGUUCUAUGGAGAAACGGUGAAGCAAAUGGCACUUCGACAGUUAGUAGCAGGAUCACCUUUGCGGACACUAUGCCUAUUAAUUGCAGGUCAACCGGCUGAUGUCUUUUCUGUAGAUUCUACAGUUCAAAGUGGCAUGCGUGCUGUAAAUGUGGCUCAGCAGCCUGCACAGGUUUUAUUUUCAUAACUUGUUACGACCAGUUGUUCAUUAGCUUAUUUGCUGCCUUUUUCCUUUGAUCUCGUUCUUUAUGAGUUGCCUAAAGCCCCUGGAAUGGAGCAAUUAAAGGAGUUCUUCACUCUAAUAGAGUAUAUCAUUUCUAUAACAGUCACCUUUGCGAACACUAUGCCUAUUAAUUGCAGGUCAACCGGCUGAUGUCUUUUCUGUAGAUUCUACAGUUCAAAGUGGCAUGCCUGCUGUAAAUGUGGCUCAGCAGCCUACACAGGUUUUAUUUUCAUAACUUGUUACAACUAGUUGUUCAUUAGCUUAUUUGCUGCCUUUUUCCUUUGAUCUCGUUCUUUAUGAUUUGCCUAAGCCCCUGGAAUGGAGCAAUUAAAGGAGUUCUUCACUCUAAUAGAGUAUACCAUUAUAAACAUAGUGUCAUAAUUAUUCUUUGGCUAUUUAAGUUUUGAAAAAAGUUCAGAAGACAUUUCAGUGUCUACGUAAACGUUAAUAGUGAGAAAAAACUGAAAAUGGAAUGUAGCUAUGUGUAUUUUGAUAUUUCGAAUUUCAAUAAUCGCUGCACUUUUGAAGCCAAGGACUUGUUUU